UUUAACAAACCCUAAGACAUUCUUGUGAGAUCGGCAGCGCCGUUCUGUGUUCUCACAUCCAUUGCCAUAUCUUUCAUGUAAGUUGUGAGAUUGGGUUGCGGAAGCUUUUUCAUGAUGGAAAUAGUUGGCAAUAAUUGAUCAUCCAACAACUGUGAUUUCUUUGAUUAAAGACUUCGAUACCUACUAUUAGAUUUACGGAGCCUGCUACACAUUGGCCCAGUCCAAAUAGAAUUCACGCGCAUGAAAAGAGAUAACAUGGCGCGUCAAAAUCACGCGCUCAACACUCAAACGGUUAGGCAGACUCUUCCACUUCUUCCACUUCUUCCACUUCUCAAAGCGCUUUGAAAACAAGGAAGCCCUCUCAUUUUCGAGCGAAAAUUAAAGUUCAAAAUAUACAAAUCGUUAUUCGAAACCUCCAUCAAAACACCAUCAAACUCUCCGUGAAGAAUCUGAAGAGAAAACAAAGCAACAAUACUCAACAUAAGUUCAUUAAGAUUCUUAGAAAAUGGCAGCAAGAAACCAAACAAAAGACCUUAAGUGUGCCACACAUCUCCUGAGUGAUAAGUUCAGAAACAUGACUGAGGAGAAGAAGGUGAUUGUGAGGGAUCUCGGAUUCGGUGGGUUGAUGCACAUCCCACCACUAAGGGUGAAUCACCAACUCUUAAGGGAGCUGGCAAACAACUUCAAACUUGGGGAGAACAGACUGAAGACAGGAUAUGGUUCUUUCCAAAUAACACAAAAAAAAAUAGGUCAUGCGCUUGGCAUCAAUGCAACAGGAGAUCUAUUUUCUGAGAAAGUUGAGUAUAAGAAACUUUCUGAUGAUGACAAAAUAAUUUAUAGAAGAUUCUAGGGUAAGACCCUCAAAAGUCUUACCGAUGAAAUAAUGGAAAUCGGCGUUGGCAACGAAGAGGAACGCCUGAUGUUCAAGAGGAUAUUCAUCCUCUACAUACAGAUGGCGUUCCUUUUGCCAACGACGAUAAACAAAAUAUCGCCCGUGCACCUGGCCCCAAUUUUUAAGAUGGACGGCAUAUCGGAGAGAAACUGGAGGGGGCAUGUUUUGACCUUCAUGGUCAAGGGCAUCACAGACUACCAGAAGAAGAUGAAAAAGACAAUUAAUGGCUGCCUUUUCGCCCUGAUGAUAAUCUACUUUCAUCUUUCAAAAAAUAAAGGCAAGAACAGGGCUGAAAGACCACCAAAGCCCUGAAUUGCCAACUGGACUAAGGAGCAGUUGGUGGAAAGAAUGACUGCAGAAAGAGAGGAAAUUUUGGGGAUUGUGAAGAUGGUAGAGAUAAGAGAAAAAAUGAAAAAAAAAAGAAAAAAAAAGAAAAAAACAAGAAAUCAGAAAAACAAAAAAAGGAACGCGAGUCCAACAUCGUCUUUGGAGAUAGAAACUACUGAAAGUGACACUUCUACCUCUGAGUCUGAGGCUCAAGAAGACUCAGAGGAUUCAGGAAGAAAACACCCCAGCAAAAAGGGGAAAAAAAUGGACUCCAAAAAAAGAAAGCAGAGGCAAGAGGAGUCAGAUUCUGAUUCAGAAUCUGAAUCUGAACCAAGUGAUGAGAGCGAAGAAUCAUCACCUGCGGAGAAGGAGAAGAAAAAGAAAAAAACAAAAAAAACACCAAAAAAAACACAACAAAAAAAGAAAAAAGUUAUUGUGGAGGAUUCACCUCCUGAAGAAGAUCAAUACUUUGACGGGUUGAGUCCGACUAAUUCGAAUAUGAUGGUUGUGAGGGAACAAACACCGUCGGAAGCGCUUGCAGUAGUCCCGAUCCAGGUUUUUGUGCCGGCAUCCCAAACAACUACUGAGACAGAUUUUGAACCAACCCCUAUGCUACGGAUUGAAGGGACUACAGAAAUAUAAGAAAUAGUAUUGGGUGUAUAUUUGUUUAGAGUUUGGGUGUAUAUUUGCUAACAGUUUGGGUGUAUAUUGUUCCUGAUUAAUUUUUUUUACGCCAUGAUUAAUUUUGUGUAACUGUGCAGCACUCCUGAACCCCCCAAACAACUUCAAGAAACCACACCCACGCUUCCCCCAGCUCCAACUAAAAUUCAUCCAGCCGCAGAAGACGCUGCUGCCCUGUUGAUGAUGGCACGGACAGCAACCUAUGUUCCUAAAACAGAUCCAGGGAUGCCAUCAUUCAGCCUUGGAUUGACUGAUUCAAGCCAGGAGGGGCGUCAACGCAGGAGACAGAAAGGAAAAAAUCUCCAGAAACUGCAAAUUUGCUAGAACAAUUAGACAAUUUGGUCCAAAAAUUAGCAAGCAGUGUGGCGAAGGGAAAAAAAUGAAAGUCCACAAAUUCAGAGGGAGACUGGGGGAGAAAGUUCUGCAAAGUUUGAAACUCCUGGGGGAAUAAAUCAAAUUCCAGAU